rnacentral:hammerhead_ribozyme from 1 species
AUCCAGCUGACGAGUCCUAAAUAGGACUCAACGCGCUCCCUGGAU